rnacentral:rRNA from 1 species
GAUGAACGCUGGCGGCGUGCCUAAUACAUGCAAGUCGAGCGAACGGACGAUAAGCGUGUUUCCCUGAUGUUAGCGGCGGACGGGUGAGUAACACGUGGAUAACCUACCUAUAAUACGGGGAUAACUUCGGGAAACCGGUGCUAAUACCGGCUAAUAUUUUGAACCGCAUGAUUCAAAAGUGAAAGACGGCUUUGCUGUCACUUAUAGAUGGAUCCGCGCUGCAUUAGCUAGUUGGUAAGGUAACGGCUUACCAAGGCAACGAUGCAUAGCCGACCUGAGAGGGUGAUCGGCCACACUGGAACUGAGACACGGUCCAGACUCCUACGGGAGGCAGCAGUGGGGAAUAUUCCGCAAUGGGCGAAAGCCUGACGGAGCAACGCCGCGUGAGUGAUGAAGGUCUUCGGAUCGUAAAACUCUGUUAUUAGGGAAGAACAUAUGUGUAAGUAACUGUGCACAUCUUGACGGUACCUAAUCAGAAAGCCACGGCUAACUACGUG